AUUGAACGCUGGCGGCAGGCCUAACACAUGCAAGUCGAGCGGUAGAGAGGUGCUUGCACCUCUUGAGAGCGGCGGACGGGUGAGUAAUGCCUAGGAAUCUGCCUGGUAGUGGGGGAUAACGCUCGGAAACGGACGCUAAUACCGCAUACGUCCUACGGGAGAAAGCAGGGGACCUUCUGGCCUUGCGCUAGCAGAUGAGCCGAGGUCGGAUUAGCUAGUUGGUGAGGGAAUGGCUCACCAAGGCGACGCUCCGUAACUGGUCUGAGAGGAUGAUCAGCCACACUGGAACUGAGACACGGUCCAGACUCCUACGGGGGGCAGCAGUGGGGAAUAUUGGACAAUGGGCGAAAGCCUGAUCCAGCCAUGCCGCGUGUGUGAAGAAGGUCUUCGGAUUGUAAAGCACUUUAAGUUGGGAGGAAGGGUCGUUACCUAAUACGUGACGAUUUUGACGUUACCGACAGAAUAAGCACCGGCUAACUCUGUGCCAGCCGCCGCCGUAAGAC
rnacentral:rRNA from 1 species